CGGCGUGCCUAACACAUGCAAGUCGAACGAGAAAGUACCCUUCGGGGUGCGAGUAAAGUGGCAAACGGGUGAGUAACGCGUGGGAUAUCUACCCUGAUGAGAGGAAUAACGCUCCGAAAGGAGAGCUAAUACCGCAUAAUCCGGAAACGGGAAAGGCCUUAUGGUCGCAUCUGGAGGAGCCCGCGUCCGAUUAGCUGGUUGGUGAGGUAAUGGCUCACCAAGGCGACGAUCGGUAGCCGGUCUGAGAGGACGGACGGUCACACUGGGACUGAGACACGGCCCAGACUCCUACGGGAGGCAGCAGUGGGGAAUUUUGGGCAAUGGGGGAAACCCUGACCCAGCAACGCCGCGUGGAGGAAGAAGGUUUUCGAAUCGUAAACUCCUGUCCCACGAGAAGAAGCAAGUGACGGUAUCGUGGGAGGAAGCCCCGGCUAACUCCGUGCCAGCAGCCGCGGUAAUACGGGGGGGGCGAGCGUUGUUCGGAAUUACUGGGCGUAAAGGGCGCGUAGGCGGUUUCGGAAGUCAAGGGUGAAAGCCCCGAGCUCAACUCGGGAAUUGCCUUUGAAACCACGGAACUAGAGUGCUGGAGAGGAAAGCGGAAUUUCCAGUGUAGCGGUGAAAUGCGUAGAUAUUGGAGGGAACAUCUGAGGCGAAGGCGGCUUUCUGGACAGACACUGACGCUGAGGCGCGAAAGCCAGGGGAGCGAACGGGAUUAGAUACCCCGGUAGUCCUGGCUGUAAACGAUGAACACUUGGUGUGGGGGGUAUAAAGUCCCUCCGUGCCGAAGAUAACUCGAUAAGUGUUCCGCCUGGGGAGUACGGCCGCAAGGCUGAAACUCAAAGGAAUUGACGGGGGCCCGCACAAGCGGUGGAGCAUGUGGUUUAACUCGACGCAACGCGAAGAACCUUACCGGGGUUUGAACUGUACCGGCGACAUCCAGAGAUGGAUGGUUUCAUUCAGGGAACAUGGUAUAGAAGGUGCUGCAAUGGCUGUCGUCAGCUCGUGUCGUGAGAUGUUGGGUUAAGUCCCGCAACGAGCGCAACCCUUGUCUGUAGUUGCCAUCAGGUUAAGCUGGGCACUCUACGGAGACUGUCGGCGAUAAGCCGGAGGAAGGUGGGGAUGACGUCAAGUCCUCAUGGCCUUUAUGUCCCGGGCUACACACGUGCUACAAUGGAUGGAACAGAGGGCAGCAAGCCUGCGAAGGCAAGCGAAUCCCAAAAAUCCAUUCUCAGUUCGGAUUGCAGUCUGCAACUCGACUGCAUGAAGUUGGAAUCGCUAGUAAUCGCGGAUCAGAAU
rnacentral:rRNA from 1 species